rfam:Pseudomonas fluorescens SBW25 complete genome
GUAACGGUCACCGCAAGGUUUCUGGUGGCGACACCAGACAGACUUCCGCGUCUUGCUUGGCGAGGCGCGACCGGCACAGCCGGAAGACAACCCGCCGGUACACACACCGGC